rnacentral:rRNA from 1 species
GAUGAACGCUGGCGGCGCGCCUUACACAUGCAAGUCGAACGGCACCCCUCCUCGGAGGGAAGCGAGUGGCGAACGGCUGAGUAACACGUGGAGAACCUGCCCCCUCCCCCGGGAUAGCCGCCCGAAAGGACGGGUAAUACCGGAUACCCCCGGGCGCCGCAUGGCGCCCGGGCUAAAGCCCCGACGGGAGGGGAUGGCUCCGCGGCCCAUCAGGUAGACGGCGGGGUGACGGCCCACCGUGCCGACAACGGGUAGCCGGGUUGAGAGACCGACCGGCCAGAUUGGGACUGAGACACGGCCCAGACUCCUACGGGAGGCAGCAGUGGGGAAUCUUGCGCAAUGGGGGGAACCCUGACGCAGCGACGCCGCGUGCGGGACGGAGGCCUUCGGGUCGUAAACCGCUUUCAGCAGGGAAGAGUCAAGACUGUACCUGCAGAAGAAGCCCCGGCUA